GCCACAGUGCUGCAGCUGAGCGGCUCUCCUUGCUGAUGGUCUCCCAGUGGUCAGAUUUCGCCAUGGUCUUCUUCACACACAUGGGCAGGUGUGCUGGGAUACUCAUCAUUGCCUUUGUAUGUGACGUGGCUGGAUUGAUCAUCCUCCUCUUGGGGAUUUUUGCCAAUCUGGACUAUUGGGACUUCUUUAUUUACUCAGGAGCACUGCUGCUGGCCUUCAGCCUGGUCUUCUGGAUAUUCUGGUAUUCCUUCAACAUCGAGGUCCCCUUUAAAGAACUCCGCUUUUAACUCACCUACAACUGCAGGAGAACAUUUGGUAGCAGCUACAGGCUGGAGAAGCAAUAUUUCAGCGUCUGGGAAAUAUCUGAAAGCUUUAUUCAGCUGAGGAAGAGCUUUAAACCCCUGACAGUGACAGUGUUAUUUCCCACGCAGUCUUCCCUCAGGCAACUCUUCCAAUGGACAGCUCCCGUGGAAAGCAGCCAUGCUGGUCCCCAUGUCUGUGGAACAAGGACCAUUUGGAAGCCACAAUGGUUGCUGUUCAGAAAAGGUCCAAAGAGGAGAAUUCUGGGUGACCAAGAAAUGAAGGAGAUAACGGAGGAACAUGUAAUCAUCUGCACUUCCAGGGGGCAUUAGUCUGAUCACGAAUCCCUAAAAAUACAACAAAGAAUCAUGGAUCUGUGUUGAGCACUUCGCAACCUCUCUGAACUUGAGCAUUCAAGGAAUCCCUCCAACGUGAAAUAUGCUUGCACAUCCCCCGUACUAUGGCACGUGCUAGGCACAUUGCACUGAAGACUUUCCUCCAACAUUGCCAUUGCUCCUUGCUCCCUUCAGACCACGGGGCCUGCCAGCUCUCAGCAACCGUGGAUGUCUUUGCUGUAACUCCCUUGCCUGGGGAAGACCAGCAGUAUUCCAGAGGGCAAGCUGGGACAGGUUUGUAGACCUCAAUGUGAAGACUUUGAGUCAAAAGGAGCAUGAGUGGCUGAAACUGUUGCCUGUGUUACCUCUGCUGGCCAGAUAUCUAACCCAGCCAACUCUCUUCUUCUCAAGUCUCUCAAUGAACUCUGAGGAAAGGGGCUGUCUGGAGGAUGCAAUGUGUUUAGCACCGCAGAUCUCCUCAAGGAAGCUGAAGCUGGCUGGGCCUGUGCAAGUUCCCUGUGAUGCCAACCAGUGAGCAGAGACCCAAAGAAGAGCAGUACGUGGCAUCUCCAU